AACGAACGCUGGCGGCAUGCCUAACACAUGCAAGUCGAACGAUACCUUCGGGUCUAGUGGCGCACGGGUGCGUAACGCAUGGGAACCUGCCCUUAGGUUCGGAAUAACUCCCCGAAAGGGGUGCUAAUACCGGAUAAUGUCUUCGGACCAAAGAUUUAUCGCCUUUGGAUGGGCCCGCGUUUGAUUAGCUAGUUGGUAGGGUAACAGCCUACCAAGGCGACGAUCCAUAGCUGGUCUGAGAGGAUGAUCAGCCACACUGGGACUGAGACACGGCCCAGACUCCUACGGGAGGCAGCAGUGGGGAAUAUUGGACAAUGGGCGAAAGCCUGAUCCAGCAAUGCCGCGUGAGUGAUGAAGGCCUUAGGGUUGUAAAGCUCUUUUACCCGGGAUGAUAAUGACAGUACCAGGAGAAUAAGCUCCGGCUAACUCCGUG
rnacentral:rRNA from 1 species